UACAGAGGGUGCGAGCGUUGUUCGGAAUUACUGGGCGUAAAGCGCGUGUAGGCGGUCUAAUAAGUCAGAUGUGAAAGCCUGGGGCUUAACUCCAGAAGUGCAUUUGAAACUGUUAGGCUAGAGUGAUGUAGAGGAUGGCGGAAUACCCAGUGUAGAGGUGAAAUUCGUAGAGAUUGGGUAGAACACCGGUGGCGAAGGCGGCCAUCUGGGCAUUAACUGACGCUGAGACGCGAAAGCGUGGGGAGCAAACAGG
rnacentral:rRNA from 1 species